rnacentral:rRNA from 1 species
UGGGGAAUUUUGGACAAUGGGCGAAAGCCUGAUCCAGCAAUGCCGCGUGUGUGAAGAAGGCCUUCGGGUUGUAAAGCACUUUUGUCCGGAAAGAAAUCCUUGGCUCUAAUACAGUCGGGGGAUGACGGUACCGGAAGAAUAAGCACCGGCUAACUACGUGCCAGCAGCCGCGGUAAUACGUAGGGUGCAAGCGUUAAUCGGAAUUACUGGGCGUAAAGCGUGCGCAGGCGGUUUGCUAAGACCGAUGUGAAAUCCCCGGGCUCAACCUGGGAACUGCAUUGGUGACUGGCAGGCUAGAGUAUGGCAGAGGGGGGUAGAAUUCCACGUGUAGCAGUGAAAUGCGUAGAGAUGUGGAGGAAUACCGAUGGCGAAGGCAGCCCCCUGGGCCAAUACUGACGCUCAUGCACGAAAGCGUGGGGAGCAAAACAGGAUUAGAUACCCUGGUAGUCCACGCCCUAAACGAUGUCAACUAGUUGUUGGGGAUUCAUUUCCUUAGUAACGUAGCUAACGCGUGAAGUUGACCGCCUGGGGAGUACGGUCGCAAGAUUAAAACUCAAAGGAAUU